CGCUAUCAAAUCAUUCUUACCAUACAUUUUGCCUUCAUCUGAUAAGAUGAUUUUCCUCCUCCCACACGGUGGAUAGAUAGCUAGAGCCUCCUGAAAG